CCCUUAGAUGUUCUGGGCUGCACGCGCGCUACACUGAUGCACUCAACGAGUUUACGACCUUGCCCGAUAGGGUUGGGUAAUCUUUUUAAAAUGCAUCGUGAUGGGGAUAGAUUAUUGCAAUUAUUAAUCUUCAACGAGGAAUUCCUAGUAAGCGCGAGUCAUCAGCUCGUGCUGAUUACGUCCCUGCCCUUUGUACACACCGCCUGUCGCUCCUACCGAUUGAGUGCUCAGGUGAAUAAUUCGGACUGCAGCAAUGUUUGGAUCCCGAACGUUGCAGCGGAAAGUUUAGUGAACCUUAUCACUUAGAGGAAGGAGAAGUCGUAACA
rnacentral:rRNA from 1 species